rnacentral:lncRNA from 1 species
AGAUAAAAGUUGUGUUUAAUCAAAUGACAAGCAAUAAUGAUUUAGAGAUAACCACACAAAUGGAAAAUAUUGAAAAGAUACAACCAAACCCAAACAAAGCAAAAUGGUAUAAAUUUGUAAUUUCAGCUACUUGGGAAUGGGAGGUCAAAGGAUUGCAAGUUCAAGGUCAGCCUGGAUUAUGAGGUGAAUGUCAGGCCAGGUUGGGCAACUUAGUAAGAUCUUGUCUCAAAGUAAUGGGUCCCCAAUACUGAAUAAAAUAAAACAGACAACCAGAUUUUGGGUUUGUAUACAGCAACUACUUUAUUAUUUCCAAAUGCAAACCCUUUGCAUUUAGUUUGCUAUUUUACAACUUUACAAACUAGGUAUAAAAGACCAUAAAUAAAUGACAUAAGUUAUGUGUACCUAAAGUUCAUGAAGGGAAGAAAAAUACCUUGACAAAUGAAAACAAAAUAGAAAAAUCUAUGGCUAACUCAAAAGAUUGCUCAAAAUUUGGAACAUGUAUGAACCAAGAGAUGUUCUGUUAAUUUCCUUUAAGGAUGAAUGAACUAAAUUAUAAUAUGCCUUAUACAUUCUAAUUAUAACCACAGUCCUUGCAUAUUCCAACAGACUUGGAGUAAUACAAAAUAAAUGCACUCUUCAGCGUUUAUCAAUACGUGAUGUUAUUUGGACAAUGCUAAAGGAGUGAAAAUAUUGCUUCUAGAACUUUCCUUUACUGGUCAAAAUUUAAGUGUCUUCAGACAAAUAAUUGAGGCUAUAGGAGUGUGUGGAUUAAUACACGUACCCUUCACAGAUGACUACAAGAGGUCUCAGAACACACAUCAAUCAUGUUGUGAACACAGCCUUUCUUCUGCUCUUUUAGACACACCAGAACAGUUCAUUUAUAAGAUUGCCAAAAAUAACUGGGAGCCUGCAGACACAUGGUGAAACGACUUGAUUUGGUGCAGGGAACAGCUUGAAGCUGCUUAGUAGAUCUGAAUAGAAUUUAGCCUUCCAGCUCACCAGGCCAGCACUUGCUCCUGGGCUGGAUACAGACCCUGAAGUUGGCCUCUUCCCACCCGACCUCUGGGAAAGAUGAUCCACUCGGAGAUUCAAACUCAUUUUUUUUUUUAACACAUAUUUUUCAGGCAUCAAUGCAUAGGCACAUCCCUUUAAAAAUAUAUUAAGGUCCCCCCCAAAAGGGGUGAAUUAACUUUGUCACUCUGGCAUAGUUAUGAGAAUACAAUGCCACACACCCUGUCAGAAUGCAAUAAAUAUUUAUUGGUGAUUUUCUCUACUUAUUCAACAAUAUAUGGUUCAGAAUCUUUUUCCCCAUUUUUCCCUGAUUUGAUGUUAUAGCUUAUGUAAAUGGCCACAGUUUCUGCAACUAUAGCUCAGAAUAAGCAAGGCAGCCACUCAGGUUAGGUAAAAUGGCAGUAUGCUGGCUGGAGUUUGGUAUACAUAUCCUGUCAAUACCGAAUCUUCAGACACCAGAACCCAGAUUCUAGAAGACUGAUGCACUUUCGAGGGCAAAGGGAGUUAGCUGCAUAUCAGUAACUGGAGAACUUUCCACAUGUAAUUGGGGAACCUGGAAUUGCUAGAGGCCAUUUCAUCCCAACUACAUUCACCUCAAGAGCCACUGGCAUGUAUGUAUUUUUCUGUGACACUGGGACGGACACAAAGUAUUACUCCAGACACAUCCUCUCAAGGCUGACAUACAUCUUUAAGUUCAUCUCCAAAAGUAUAUGAAUUGCAUAUAUUUGUUCGCAUUCAUCAAGUUCAUUUAUGCAGGAAACAAAGGCGAUUUGUACUCCAUCUGGGGUCGCUACAUAGAUUCCAUCCCCUUCUCUCUCCAUUGUGGAACUGGUGAGUCAGACGAGUCCCAACAGAUUCUGUGAUUGUGGUGACAGGCUGUCACCUUGGGUGGGUUUAUAUCCAACAAUCACUCCACCGUGGAGGUGAAAACACAUCUGUCCAAAGCUGUAGAAUUGCUUCUUAUGGUGAGUAUGACAGCUACAUUACACUCACAGAUACAGCCCAUGUAGCAUUUCCAAGCUGUCUUCCCAAGGGGAUGGACAUGGUCUCCAGGCCCCGUAUAGCAUGUGACUCUUCAUCUUUGAACUGGUGAUAAACCAGAACUCUCCAGGCGUAGCAUUCCACAACAUUCACAGGCAGUUCGAAGCAUGAGGUUACACGCGCAAGCGUGCAUGCGCAGGCACGCACGCACACGCGCACACACACACAUACAUACACACACGCACGCACGCGCACACACGUACACACAUACACACUCACACCUAUGUACACACAUCAAAAGAGAUAUUCGGGUCAUAUUUUAGUCUAGGAAAAAAUAUAUUUAUAUCACUGCAAUGGCACACCCUGGGUAAAAUGUCACUUCAGCAAUGCAUAUCCUAGGCAGCUUACGGAACUGGCUUUGUUCUGCGUGGUGGCACCUGACCUGGCGUCCAUAGUAAAACCUGUAACAUUUGGUCACGUGCUGCCACACGGAUGCAGCAGUGACAUACAGGAAUGGAAUAUGGAAAUACAUAUAAAUAAAACCACAAGGAGUUUGGAAGGGCUCUGCAGAGCUGGUGCCUUGAGACAGCACGCACAUUCCACAGCGCAGCUGGAGAACAGACGCCAAAGCUUGAUGUUGCUGUUUUCCUGGGCGAAGGGGACCUGAAAUAUUUUUUCUGAUUUUCAGGUGCAGGUGUUUCGUCAAGUAUCUUUGCCUCAAAACUGGCAGAAGAGAAGCCAAAGAAAGACGUUCAGAAGGAACCGAGGAGGGUGGGUUCUGUUUUUUUUCCAAGGACUUUGUAAUCAACAGGAAGGGCUGUGAGGCUGAGAUAGCAGAAUCUAUUCCCUGU